GCCCUACGGGGGGCAGCAGUGGGGAAUAUUGCACAAUGGGGGAAACCCUGAUGCAGCGACGCCGCGUGAGUGAAGAAGUAUUUCGGUAUGUAAAGCUCUAUCCGCAGGGAAGAUAAUGACGGUACCUGACUAAGAAGCCCCGGCUAACUACGUGCCAGCAGCCGCGGUAAUACGUAGGGGGCAAGCGUUAUCCGGAUUUACUGGGUGUAAAGGGAGCGUAGGUGGCAGGGCAAGUCAGAUGUGAAAACACGGGGCGCAACUCCG
rnacentral:rRNA from 1 species